rnacentral:rRNA from 1 species
UGAGGAAUUUUGCGCAAUGGGGGAAACCCUGACGCAGCGACGCCGCGUGGAGGAUGAAGGCCUUCGGGUCGUAAACUCCUGUCAGAGGUGAAGAAUACCCGCAAGGGUUUGACGGUGACCUCAGAGGAAGCCCCGGCUAACUACGUGCCAGCAGCCGCGGUAAUACGUAGGGGGCAAACGUUACUCGGAAUUACUGGGCGUAAAGGGUGCGUAGGCGGCUGGGAAAGUCAAGGAUGAAAUCCCGUGGCUCAACUGCGGAACGGUCCUUGAAACUACUCGGCUUGAGGAUAACCGAAGAGAACGGAAUUCCCGGUGGAGCGGUGAAAUGCGUAGAUAUCGGGAGGAACACCUGAGGCGAUAGCGGUUCUCUAGACUACUCCUGACGCUGAGGCACGAAAGCUAGGGGAGCAAACGG